AUAUCAGUCAUGCAUAGCAUAUCAAUAAGCGGAGGAAAAGGAAACUAACAAGGAUUCCCUUAGUAACGGCGAGUGAAGCGGGAAGAGCUCAAAUUUGAAAUCUUCAAGGUUCUACCUUGACGAAUUGUAGUUUAUAGAAGUGUUUUCUGUUAGUGGAGUGGCAAAAGUUCUUUGGAAUAGGACAUCAUAGAGGGUGAGAAUCCCGUAUUUGGUCAUUCCUCCUAGCGUUGUGAUACACUUUCAACGAGUCGGAUUGUUUGGGAAUGCAGUCCAAAAUGGGUGGUAAAUUUCAUCUAAAGCUAAAUAUUGGCGAGAGACCGAUAGCGAACAAGUACCGUGAGGGAAAGAUGAAAAGAACUUUGAAAAGAGAGUUAAACAGUACGUGAAAUUGUCAAAAGGGAAGCGUUUGACACCAGUGUUGUUUUUUCCGAAAAUCAAUUACGAAUGUUUUAGUUUUUGAGGAGUUAUGACUUCAUCGGCUUGCUCCUUUCUUUAUGAAACUUUCUUAAUGCACUUUUCGGUUAACAAGUCAAUAUCAAUUUCUUUUGUUGUAAAAGGGUAUGAGGAAGGUGGCUUUCUCUUCGGAGAAAGUGUUUAUAGCCUUGUGCCUCUGCAAUCGGAGAGAUUGAGGUCUGCAGCGUAGAUCCUUCGGGGUUAGAUACGUUUGUGCUAAGUUAUAGCUUUUCAUAGACAACUUGUUGACUAUGUUUAGUCUUGUAGCUUACUCGCUGAUGCUAUUUUACCUACGCUUAGGAUGUUGAUCUCUCACAGUCGAGC
rnacentral:rRNA from 1 species